rnacentral:rRNA from 1 species
UACGUAGGGGGCUAGCGUUGUCCGGAUUUAUUGGGCGUAAAGAGCGUGUAGGCGGCCGGGUAAGUCGGGUGUGAAAACUCGAGGCUUAACCUCGAGAUGUCAUCGGAAACUAUUCGGCUAGAGUCCGGAAGAGGAUAGUGGAAUUCCUGGUGUAGCGGUGAAAUGCGCAGAUAUCAGGAAGAACACCCAUGGCGAAAGCAGCUCUCUGGGACGGUACUGACGCUGAGACGCGAAAGCGUGGGGAGCGAACAGG